GGGUUGUGAGGUUAAGCGACUAAGCGUACACGGUGGAUGCCCUGGCAGUCAGAGGCGAUGAAGGACGUGCUAAUCUGCGAUAAGCGUCGGUAAGGUGAUAUGAACCGUUAUAACCGGCGAUUUCCGAAUGGGGAAACCCAGUGUGAUUCGUCACACUAUCAUUAACUGAAUCCAUAGGUUAAUGAGGCGAACCGGGGGAACUGAAACAUCUAAGUACCCCGAGGAAAAGAAAUCAACCGAGAUUCCCCCAGUAGCGGCGAGCGAACGGGGAGCAGCCCAGAGCCUGAAUCAGUGUGUGUGUUAGUGGAAGCGUCUGGAAAGGCGCGCGAUACAGGGUGACAGCCCCGUACACAAAAAUGCACAUACUGUGAGCUCGAUGAGUAGGGCGGGACACGUG
rnacentral:rRNA from 1 species